CCCUCGUGCGGCUUAGAGUGGGGCAGCGGUUGCGUCUCGGCCGGCUGCGCUCUCUGAGCUCCCUCCUGGCUGAUCGCACCCCGCCCGGCGGCGCAGGCAGGUCUGCUGAGCCCGUGCGACUGCCUCGAGGUCAGCGCUUGUCUCCCCUCGAGGGACGCUUGUCCUGCGUUGGCCAUGGCUGAGCCACCGCCACCCCUGCGACCAGCAGCGUGUUCUCGAGCGUGCACCCGAGGAUCAGAGCGCCCCGGCCUGCCGCCUGUAAAGGACUAUUUGAAGGCCUUGUCCCUAGAGGAACUGUCCUCUGAGCAUCAGGAGACCCAUUUGAGGUUAUUCAUUGCAGCAGUUGGAAGACAGAAGUUAAUGAGUGGCCUCGACACAGGAAAGAAGAAAGGAGAAAGAAAAAGAAAGA